AGAGAGAGAGAGAGAGGAGGAUUAUAGUAAUUUUAUGAGUACUGAGGCUGUCGUACUCACUAUUGUUUUCAACGAUAGUGCUUCUAAAUCUACGAUUCAUAUUGUUAAAUAUAAUAUAGAGCAUUUGAAUCUUGUAGAAUAUUAUGAAUAUCAUGAUUUUUUGAAAUUAUUAAUAAAGUUCAUCAAGAGAGAAUAAAAAAAAGGAUCAAAAUGAACGACAUCCUCAAAAUAGAAGAACAGACUCUUCAAUUUCAAUUCAGAGUUAUUGAUCUUUAUCUAUAUAUUGAAUAAAAUUUUUUAUCAAUUAAUUGAUUGUGAUUGUUGUAUAUUGUUAAGCUAGCAUGCGUUUUAUACUGGUCGUUAAAAAUUAUCAAAUUUGAGAUCUUUUGAUUGAAAGGUAAAUAAUAUAUAUCGAAAAAUUACAAUAUUUGAUUACUAAAAAUUUUAUUCAAUAUAUUUGUUGUAUAUUGUUAAGCUAGCAUGCGUUUUAUACUGGUCGUUAAAAAUUAUCAAAUUUGAGAUCUUUUGAUUGAAAGGUAAAUAAUAUAUAUCGAAAAAUUACAAUAUUUGAUUACUAAAAAUUUCAAAUGUUUUAAAUCAUGUUUAAUGGUAUGAAUCGUGAAUUUAAAAAUUUUAUCAUCGAAAACAACUUAUAAACACGAUGGUGAUCGUACUCAUAAGUAUAGUAAUUGAACUCUCUCUCUAUACAUAUAUUA
rnacentral:lncRNA from 1 species